rnacentral:rRNA from 1 species
UACGUAGGUGGCAAGCGUUGUCCGGAAUUAUUGGGCGUAAAGCGCGCGCAGGCGGUCCUUUAAGUCUGAUGUGAAAGCCCACGGCUCAACCGUGGAGGGUCAUUGGAAACUGGGGGACUUGAGUGCAGAAGAGGAAAGUGGAAUUCCAAGUGUAGCGGUGAAAUGCGUAGAGAUUUGGAGGAACGCCAGUGGCGAAGGCGACUUUCUGGUCUGUAACUGACGCUGAGGCGCGAAAGCGUGGGGAGCAAACAGG